CCCUAGAUUAAGAUAUUUUUUCUUCUCCUUUUGAUUUUUCCACUUAAAAUCUUUAACCCGAUUUCUAAUCUCAGUUCAAAGUCAUGCUCACCAUAUUAUUAUCUGGAUUAAUCUGAUCAUAAAAUCAUCUACAAAAUAUAAUGGGAACAACAGCAUCUAGAUCUGUUGAAACCCAUAUUAAUCCAUCUCUUCCUAGUGAUCCUUCUCUUCUUUUUUCUUCAGAGAUUAUUUCUAGAGGAUCCUAGAGCUAUAGAAGCUGAAUGUGGUAGCAGAGUUACGAAAACUAUCCUCACAAAGAUACUUAGUCACACUAGUCCAUCUCCACUUAUGGUUCCUAAAGACAAAGGGUCCGUGUCUGAGCAUCCAGUUACUUUGCCACUGUGGUUAACGGAGGAAGACGUUUGUUAUCACACUAGUAAAAAUCAGGCUUCACAGGACCAUUCAACUAUUACAUAAAUAUGAAUGUAAACUGGAAAUUUGCACAUUGGACAAGGGUACCGGUGAAGGUACCAGUCAAGUUUAUGGUAGGUGACCAAGAUUUGAGCUAUCAUAUUCCGGAUGUGAAGGAAUAUAUACACAGCGGUAGAAUGACAAAAGAUGUACCAUUUCUCCAAUAAGUAGUUGUACUUGAAGGGGUUGGUCACUUCAUAAUGGAGGAAAGGGAAGAUGAAAUCAAUAACCAUAUCAUCGAUUUCUUACAGAGAUUUUGAGAUUUGCAUCUUUCAUCUUGUCGAAUUGAGUUCUGUUAUGCCAAUAAUCCACUCUUGUUUAGACAGGAGAAUCAAAUAGAUCCUGGAUGGCGCAUUAGGACCCGCUGAACUUGAUGAUAUUUUUUCAACUCCACCGGAAAGAAUUACAGUCCUUGGUGUGAAGCUCCAUAUGAGGAAUCUGCAGAGAAGAAUGCAUUAGGAUGGUUAUCCUUUGAUGGAUUCUUGGCACAUGUAUGUGCAUUCACUACUUUCGAUUUGUUUGCUUUCUCAAAGAAACAAAAUAUUUUCAUUUGUUGGAGUUUAUUCAGAUAGAAACGUUUUCUAGUGCUUCGUCUUUGGACCUAAAGUUGUUGGGAAGUCAUCAUUGCUGAACUCUUUUCUCGGAAGGUAUGAUACUUAAAGUAAUUGAUGAAAUAAACUUACGUAGUGAUAUGUUAAACCUUGUAGAAUCAUACUGAUGUGUGGCUAUUUGUAUGUCCUUAGAACUUCUGUAAUGUAGUUAUUACUUU